ACAAUUUUGAACGAAAAUGUCGCCAAGAUUUUAAUGUUUAUGCAAAGAUCUAAUAAUGUAAUCUUAUUUAUGCACAGGAUUAUUUAUGCAGCAAAAAAUGAUCAAGACAGGGUGACAUUUUCCGUUUUGGAAGUUCUUUUACAAUUUUUAUGAUUUUUGAUAGAAAAAGUGGUUAUUUUAUGCACUAUUUGACCUUAUUCUGUUCCUUAAGGCCUCUUUAAUCUCCUGAAUAUAAUAAGUCUGUGUUAGUACACCUAAAGGAACCGCCCAUUCUCAACAAUUACAUAAUUCUUCAGAUAAAAAGAAAUGUUUUUGCAUUUUUAAUAUACACUGUCGUUAUAGGAGUGAUAUUAAUAAAACACACUCAGGCAUAUAAAGACGACCUACAAGAAGAGACCUUGGUCAUUAGGGAAUUCUUAUGUUUGUUCAUCAUGCUCAUUUACGAGAUUGGUUUUAUAUUAUCCGGUUAAAAAUUUUCUGCGACAAAUCAAUGGAUGUAUACAGUUCCAGGGCAUUUAGUAGGCAUUUAAGUAAAAAUUCCAACGUGUGCCAUUUUUAUAGUUCCUUAUUAUCAUAGAUAAAUUCAGAGCAUCUAUUUAUAUUUUGAUCCAGUUUAUGGCUUUUAGUCACUUCCUUUUCUUUUUGAUACAAUACCAUCUACUUAGAACUUUAUGUUGUUUUUGGUUUACUUUCAUUUCUUUAUAAUUUCUUGACUUUCAUAUAUUUUUGAUUGUGGAAAUAAUAUCAUCAUUUAUCAAUUCUUUCUCUAAGGCAUUUUAUUUCUUUUGUCUUUUUAGAUAAUAGUAAUUUUCAUAUCAUUUUCAUGACUUUUUCAAUUCGUCAUACCAUAUAGAGUAACGCUAAAUUUUAUUUUUCUUAAAUAUAAUUUAUUAUUUUUCUUUUAUAUUGAUUGGAUUUUUACGUCUCCUUUUUCAUUUGUAUUAUUGUUUAUUUUACUGCUGUUCUUCUAAGACUUCUAGGUCUUUCUAUUGCCUACAUAGAAUUGUAUAGCUUUGGAUUCAUUUUCUGAUUGAUUUUUUCUCAUACAUUUUCUAAUUCUCUUUAAAAUUGAGUUAUUGAUUGGGACAUUGUACUACUUUGGAACAAGGAUUUUUUUUGAACAGCUGCAAUUCAACCAACCUCUUCAAGAUGCCCCUUUAGCUUGCUAAAAUUCAAAAUUCAACAGUAGAAUGAGAAGAAAAUUGAUCAUUGAAGGGGUAGCUAAAUAUAAUCCAAUACUUUCCAGAAGGGCGACCAGAAGAUUUCUUUACCUCAACGUAGUCAUUAGCAUGUCCAUCAACACCUUGGAUUUUUUUUGUAAAAAAUAAUAUGUUAAUAAACAAUAAUUAA